GUAGGGAGCAAGCGUUGUCCGGAUUUACUGGGUGUAAAGGGUGCGUAGGCGGCAAUGCAAGUCAGAUGUGAAAUCUAUGGGCUCAACCCAUAAACUGCAUUUGAAACUGCGUUGCUUGAGUGAAGUAGAGGCAGGCGGAAUUCCCCGUGUAGCGGUGAAAUGCGUAGAGAUGGGGAGGAACACCAGUGGCGAAGGCGGCCUGCUGGGCUUUAACUGACGCUGAGGCACGAAAGCGUGGGGAGC
rnacentral:rRNA from 1 species